UGAACGGAGGGGGCAAAUUCGUAAAACAGAUAAGCGUCGCUUCGUGUAGGGUUUAGGCGGAAGACAGAGACCCUGUCACCACUCUCAUCUCAUCACACUCACUUACACCGUUACUCUUUAACAGCUUCUUCCAUUCCCUCAUCCAAUUCAAUGCGAUGUUGAGAAACAAAACUUACCACUAACUUCCUCAGCAACCAUUAACAAUGAGGUUCUAUUCCCGCUUCAAACACUUAUCCCAUCUCCUUCAAACCCUAACUCCACAUCAAAACCCUCCCUUUGCUUCCGCCCGGAUCUCGAUCUCACCCAACGCGCAACCCCUACCACGACCCUCCUACGCGCGUGGCUACUGCGUCGCGUCGCAGUCGCACACUUCGGAGAAGGUAUCGGCGAUCGUAGACGAAGUGAUGGGACUCACAUUAUUGGAGGUGAUGGACCUGGUGGAGGUGAUGCGCGAAAAGCGCGGUGUCAACGAGCUUCCGAUCAUGAUGCUGAUGAUGCCGGGAAUGGAGGUGCGGGGCUUGCCGAGGGGUGCGCCCAAGGGUGGCGGCGGCGGAGAGGGUGGAGAGGUGAAGGUGGCGGAGAAGACGGCGUUUGAUUUGAAGCUUGAGGGUUUCGAUGCGGCGGGGAAGAUCAAGGUGAUUAAGGAGGUGAGGACCUUCACAAGUUUGGGGUUGAAGGAAGCUAAGGAUUUAGUGGAGAAGGUGCCUGCGGUGUUGAAGACAGGAGUCACGAAAGAAGAGGCUGAGAGUAUCAUUGCCAAGAUGAAGGCAGUUGGCGCAAAGGUUUCCAUGGAAUAAUGAGAUUGGGAUGUUGUUAUCAUAUAACCCAACCAUAGCAUCUGGGAUCAAAGAAAAAGAAAAUUUUCCAGCCAUAGUCUUGACAACAACCAAAGUUUGAAGCUCCUAGGUUCAAUGGGAUUACUUAUCCCUCCUUUAGACAACUUACUGAAAAGACAAGACGACGUACAAAACAUGGGGUAGAGUAUUUUUUGCUUCGGUCAGGUGUCGCAGCUUAUUCCUCACAUUCAAGUUCUCGGCAGGUGAUGGGAGUCAAUUAAUGCGUUGUUACAAUGCGAAACUGCUAUCUCUUGUAUUUGAAAACUUUGCCGAGCACAGUAUGCUCCCACCUCACUGCCUUUUUUUUUUUAUUGAUUUCUGCUUUACAUAAGGCACAUUUUACCUUGAAUUUUUUUUUUAUCAUUUCUUAACCAAUGUUGUAGAAUUGGUUUAUGACAAUGGAUCAUUUUUUAACCAACAUAUACAUGCUACUUGAUGUUGAAGUUGUAGAUCCAAUUGAUUUUCAACUGAACUACCAUGACCGCGCAAUCAUGUGUAAUGGACACUAGAAUUGCUAUCUAUUGGUUGUGUACAGUAUAACGGUUUGUGGUAUUGACUCUA